CGCUGUUCAACCAUCAGAUUACCAUGUCUGUAUUAUGUGCCAGUGUAGCUGUACUGAUUCUUUGGUUUUCAUCCGUGCAGCAGAGGACAAGGGCGUCAUGGCCAACCAAGGCGCAUGGUGCUCGCAAGCGAUGAACAGAGGUUGUUUGACAUCAGCACGGAGGAGGAGGACGGGCACGGACGGAGGACAGAGCACCUCUCUUCUUCCAGGUUAGUGAGCAGCUUCAGGAGGAGCUCAAGCACGACCACCAAGAGGCACCACCGCAGCAACAGGGCGACUGUGGAAGGCAUGUUGUAUUUCUGUCAGCCCAGUCCUGGCUAUGUCUGUCCGUGAGUCCGACAUUUGAUCGCUAUUGAAGGAGCUCCAUGCUGAAGAAGAGAACACUUGUAGAGCUUGUAACAUUACUUGGAGAGCUUGUAAAGUACUGUAGAGCUUUGCAUUUGUAGAGCUUGUAAAGCAUUGUAUAUGUUAGAGCUUGUAUUACGUGUCAUUUGUAGAGCUUGUAGUGAAUUUGGCUAUUGUUAUU